GAAGUUUUCAGAGAUGAGAAUGUGCCUUCGGGAACCGUGAGACAGGUGCUGCAUGGCUGUCGUCAGCUCGUGUUGUGAAAUGUUGGGUUAAGUCCCGCAACGAGCGCAACCCUUAUCCUUUGUUGCCAGCGGUUAGGUCGGGAACUCAAAGGAGACUGCCAGUGAUAAACUGGAGGAAGGUGGGGAUGACGUCAAGUCAUCAUGGCCCUUACGACCAGGGCUACACACGUGCUACAAUGGCGCAUACAAAGAGAAGCGACCUCGCGAGAGCAAGCGGACCUCAUAAAGUGCGUCGUAGUCCGGAUUGGAGUCUGCAACUCGACUCCAUGAAGUCGGAAUCGCUAGUAAUCGUGGAUCAGAAUGCCACGGUGAAUACGUUCCCGGGCCUUGUACACACCGCCCGUCACACCAUGGGAGUGGGUUGCAAAAGAAGUAGGUAGCUUAACCUUCGGGAGGGCGCUUACCACUUUGUGAUUCAUGACUGGGGUGAAGUCGUAACAAGGUAACCGUAGGGGAACCUGCGGUUGGAUCACCUCCUUACCUUAAAGAA
rnacentral:rRNA from 1 species